rnacentral:rRNA from 1 species
CCGUAGCCCAAGAGAUCGGGAUAACACCUGGAAACAGAUGCUAAUACCGGAUAACAACAGAUGAUGCCUAUCGACUGUUUAAAAGAUGGUUCUGCUAUCACUCUUGGAUGGACCUGCGGUGCAUUAGCUAGUUGGUAGGGUAACGGCCUACCAAGGCGAUGAUGCAUAGCCGAGUUGAGAGACUGAUCGGCCACAUUGGGACUGAGACACGGCCCAAACUCCUACGGGAGGCAGCAGCU